UGCAUAACUUUUCAACUUUCAACAUUCAACUUUUAGAAAAGAUAUAACUUUUCUACAAUUUUUAGAAAUACACAAGGGAAAUUGCCUAAAAUACUAUUUUCAUGAUACCAUUUUUUAUGUUUACACCAACCAUUUUUACCCUCAUCUUUAGUGAAGGGUAAAAGCCAUUUAUAACAUUUUGAUUACCUUUGACAAAAAAAAAAUCAUAUGGUUAACUAAUCUAAACUUAAAACAUCAAUUCUAAACCCUAAAUCAUUAACUUUAAACUCUAAACCAUGAAAUAUCAACUCUAAACCCCGAAACAUCAACUCUAAACCCUAAACCCUAAAACUUCAAAUCUAAACCCUAAAACAUCAACUCUAAACUCUAAACGUAAACCCUAAACCCUAAAUCUAAACUUAAAACAUCAACU
rnacentral:lncRNA from 1 species